GGGGGUCUAGCUCAUAUGGUAGAGCGCUCGCUUCGCACAAUGCGAGAGGCACUGGGAUCGAUACCCAGGUCCUCC